rnacentral:misc_RNA from 1 species
GAAAUUGAUGCUCCGUUACUUUACGAAAGUGUCGAGCCAAAACUAAGGAAAUCGAUAAUCGCUCGAAUGGGAGGAAUUUGGCACCCACCGACUUGUCACCGUGACAGGUGCAUGUAGCAGUACGUAUACCAAAGAGCUGGAUGUCUGCUUGAGUCACGAGGCGCGUGCGUCAAAAGACGACAAGAUGGGAGCAAUGCGCGGAAAUCAAACUGGCUACGCACAAUGUCAUACGAAACGAUGCCACACAUUCAUUACACCUUCGUUAAGUUUUCAUUGAUGGUUUAUUCAUC